UAUGCCUGCAGGCCAGAAGAGGGCACCAGACCCUGUUACAGAUGGCUGUGAGCCACCAUGUGGUUGCUGAGAAUUGAACUCAGGACCUUUGGAAGAGCAGGCAAUGCUCUUAACCUCUGAGCCAUCUCUCCAGCCCUUAUCUCCAUUUUUAAAAUUCCAGUUUUGCUUAUUGAGAUCUCAAUAUUUAAAUCUAACUGGAUAAUGUAUGAAAAGCAAGGUACAUGGUUGGCAAUGAGAACCGCAAAACCAGCAGCCUUAAUUCCUGAAUGGUCACACAGCAGACAUUUCCCUAGGGUUGCUAAGAAGUAAAUCAAGCAAGAAAAGACGCGAGGUAUGGCGGCACAUGCUUUGUAAUCCCAGUUCCUCGGAGGCGUUGGAUUGCAGUUCGUUUGACAAGCUGCAAGCGUGGUCCCAAGAGAGGUGUCAUCGCUGGCUUGGUAAAGUCUGUGUUAACAAUGGCCCUGCAGGGCAGAGCUCAAAAGGAAUUGACCGGGAAGGUUUCCGUUUAAAAUCUGUGCUGAUAAUGAUUGAUGGGAAAGGAUUUCUACACAUUACAUUUAGUUUGAGGAUUUCUUCAUGUUUAGGUCUUCUCUGUACCUUAAAGUCAGAACUCUGUCCACUCGUGGCUCCUCCAACCUAACUGACGCUGUUGCAUGAAGAAUCAGACAAACAAAGCAAAGGUUGUUUGCUUCUGGACUCCGGAUGUAGGGGUAAAAUGGAACCAGCUCAAAAUUGGUGGAGAAAUUGUCACAAGAACAAGACAAGAUUUGACAAGGUCAAAGCAGGGUCAUUUGCCAAAAUAAAUAAGUAAUGGAAGGAAAAGUUUGAGUGAGCAGAAACCAGAGUCGGGGCAAAUCUCUGAUCAUAGAAUAGCAAGCCAGAAAUAUGAAUGAGGACGGUGGUGCAGGCCUGUAACCCAAGUGAUGUUGACACAAGAAGCUGAGGCGGAGGAUCACUAGUUCAAGGGCUGCCUGUGCUACAGAGUGAGUUCAAGACCAGCCUGAGCAACUUUACUCUCUGUCUCCAAAUAAAACACAGGCCAGGACAGUAGCACAGUAGGGCUCUGGGUUCAAUAUUCAGAACCACAAAAAAGAAAAAAACUAAACUCACGUUGGAUGGUUAAUCUUCGUGUCACUUGCCUGGAUUUAUAAUCAUCUUGUAAUUUCUGGGUAAGUUGAACUAAGGAGAGAAGACCCUUCUUGAACGUGUGUGUGCAGGUCCUGAAUGUGCAUGUGCAUAUGUGUACACUUGCAUGGUUGAGGUGUGUGUGUACGCACGUGCACACAUGCCAUACCCUGGGCUGGGGUCCAGGACCACAGGAAGGAGAAAGCAAGCCAAGCGCCACACACACCAUCUUUUCCUAAUUGCAGGUGCAUAGACUGGCUCCGGCUGCCGUGCCUUCUUCACCUUUUUUACUAAGUUGCUUUGGUUGGGUAUUCUCACAGCAAAAAAUGAAAGCAGCUAAUACACUCCCAAACCCAGAAAUAUGGCAACAUAACCAUAAUUAGACAAAUUUCUAAGAAAGCUACUAUUACUCGAGUCAGACGGACGACUCAGUGAAUAAGAGCCUGGCCCUGGCAGGUCCUUUGGAGGACCUGGGUCUGAGUCUAGCUCAUACUGUUAACGCCAAUCUCAGGGGAUGUGGUGCUCUCUUCUGUACUCCAAAGGCAUCAAGAACGCACAAAUACACAUGCAGGCAAAAUACCCAAACACAUGAAAUAUUAUUAAAAUAAUUAUUAUAAAAGAAAAAAGUUUUAUUAUCAGGUAAAGAUAUACUUUUAGGGUUUUAGCAAGCUUUUUUUCUAGCUUAUCAUACUUAAAAAUGAAUUUUAUGGAAAAACCAGAGAAAUAUCAGUGACAAACAGAUGCAGUGACAAAAGCUAAAACUGACAACUGGCUAGGGCAGGGUAAUGUGAGCAACAGAAUCACUCGGCAGUUAUUUCACAGACUUUCAGGGAUGCUCCUUCAUCAUCCUAUCUGAGGUGAUGCUCUCUCUUGCUCACCUUUCCUUAGGUCCAAGGAUCUACUUUGCUUUCAAAGAUGAAAUACUGCAGAUCCUGGAACCCUGGCCCCCCUUCAGGGAUAGGCACACAGGCCAAGCGAAUUUAUCAAAUUCUUGUUUCUAGGAACAAAAAUAAAACUCUGCUAUCGUUCAUUGACCCGAAUGCUGCAUAAGCUCCUGUCACAAGGCCCCUUGGCUGCACGGAGUCUUUCCUUCCUGGGGUCUGUUGUUAGAACCCCAAUGUCACCUUCCAGGGAAUUCGCUUAAACGAGCCGAGGCUGGCGCUCAGUUGCUCAUAAUCUACUAGCAUCAUUUACCAACUCAUUAAAACCAGGUGACUGGGCCGGGUUGGUGGUGGCUCACGCCUUUAAUCCCAGCAGUCGGGAGGCAGAGAGGCAGGUGGGUCUCUGUGAAUCUGAGGUCAGCCUGGUCUACAAAGCAAGUUCCAUGACAGGCUGGAACUCAGAGUUAUAUACAGAGAAACCCUGUCUCGAACCCCCCCCCCCAAAAAAAAAACCAAACCAAACCAAACCAAACAAACAAACAAAUCAGAUGACGGGGCAUUUGUUGUCUCCUCCAUCGCUGGCACUUGCUGGAGCGGCACCAGGAGCUCUCUCCACUAUCAGCCACUCACGCACACAAAAAAGCCUGGAACUCUGGGAGGGCGCUACCAGGCUUUCACCUUUGCCUGCUCUCCAACAGAGAGAGCCACGAAAAUGGCGGGAAGCUUCGCAAGCAGUGCUGGUUCAUUCUUUCAGGUUUAGGAGAGAGUCUGUGCCCUGCUCACAAGCACGAGUGGAGAAACGUCUUGGGCAGGCUUUGGGGUUCCGUUUACCGAGGAUCACUAUUCACAGUGAUCAAGGUAGAACCGGUAAUGAGCAAGACAACGACCUGAAGAGGAAGCAACAAAUGACUCCAUUCCCUUCUAUACGGAUGGCUAGAAUUCAAAAUACAAAGAAAGGUGAGUAGGGACCCUCACAAGAGAGUGUGAAUUGCUGCAACCACUGUGGAGAAGAGUUUGAGUCUCUCUAAAGGUUAAAUAUUGAACUACAGUGUGACCCAGCAAGUAAAUCUACAAAGGAAUGCAAACAUGGACUGAACACACUUAAAAUACCACAUAAAAUACGGCAAUGGUGGUGUGGGGGCCGAGGGCUUCGGAGAUGUGCCGUUCACCACACUGUACUUCCGAGUGUGUGCAGGCAUGCGCAGACAGGAAGGGUGGGCGUGCAGGGCCACAGAGAGGAGAGCAAGGACAGUGUUUUCAAAGCAAAGUAGACCAGGCUGGCCUCAAACUCAGUGAACCUCCUGUCUGCCGGGCUUAGUGUUGUUGUUGUUUUGUUUUCUGAGACAGGGUUUCUCUGUGUAACCCUGGCUGUCCUGGAACUUACUCUGUAGACCAGGCCGGCCUCCGACUCACAGAGAUCCACCUGCCUCUGCCUCCCACGUACUGGGAUUAAAGGUGUGCGCCACCACCACCCAGUGAGGACUGGGGUUUUAAAGGCAUGUGGUCACACGUUCACCUUCAGAGUAAAGUCUGUAACAACAAUGAAUAUUGGGGGGCUGAUAAGAUGGUUCAGAGGGGAAAAGCUCUUGCCACCAAACUGUCAUCUGACUUUCACAUGUGCCAUGAUGCCAUAAUGCAUGUGGUAUGUGUGUGUGUGCGUGUCUGUGUGCAAACAAAACCUCAUAGGGGACAGAAGCAGAAAGGCAAAGUCUUUAUUAUCUGUAAAUGGCCCUGAAUGCCACACCAAGACAGGAAGCUGCAUGGAUACAUUUUAUUUGUUUGUUUGUUUGUUUAUUUAUUUAUUAUGUAUACAAUAUUCUGUCUGUGUGUAUGCCUGCAGGCCAGAAGAGGGCACCAGACCCCAUUACAGAUGGUUGUGAGCCACCAUGUGGUUGCUGGGAAUUGAACUAAGGACCUUCGGAAGAGGAGGCAAUGCUUUUAACCUCUGAGCCAUCUCUCCAGCCCCUGGAUACAUUUAUUUUCUCACAGUAUGGACAAUAGAGUUGGGCAGAUGACAAGAGGCAGAAAUUACAGAGGCCACUGUGUACCAGCCCAGGUGAAUAAGGACCUCAGUCAAAGUAAGCUGAAGCAGGAAGACAAAGGGAGGGCCUGAAGAGAAAUGCCAAGCUGGGUGUAGUGGCACAUGCCUAUAAUCUGAGCACUCGCGAGGCAGAGACAGGGGUAUCCGAAAUUCAAAGUUAGCCUCUGCUACAUAAUGAGUUCAAGGCUAGCUCAGGCUACAUGAGAUCCCACCUCAAAGGAGGAGGGUCUGUAUAGUACAGGAUCAAUGGGAUCAGGUUAUUGAUCAGUGAGGCAGGAAGGGUGAGGCCAUAGCUUGCACGUAAUCAGACCUCACUGAAGAAAAGCAAAGGAGGGAAGGGAGAUGAAAGGCAACCACCAAACAGAGCCACACACUGGUGACUUUCCAACCCUGGCAGCACCACGUGUAGACAGCCAGCCUUGCAGGGUUCUAGCGAUCACUGUGCCCUUAAUGUCUUCUAUGCUGUGGUAAUGGAAAAUCUUACUUGGAUAAGAUGUAAUGUGAGCAAGAUGUGUAUUUAACUUGAGCCCAGCAGGCGUCUCCAGGGGAGUAGGGGUACAGCACAGCUUUAGGAGCCUGAGCUUCCUGUUCAGUCAUUCGUGCGCUGUUCGUCCUUAGAUGUCAUUCCUCUGGUCCUCUGUAUCCAAUCUGUGGCCACGAGACCUGGUGACUGUCAGCCAGAAGAUGCUGACACACGUGGGUUUCCAGAGACAUGCACAGACUCCUAAUUGUACCCUGGGCCUCAUGUCUACGUUUAUGAGUACGGAAAGCUAUAGGCACAACUUUGCUUCCUUAAUGAUUUUCUAUUAAACAUAGACUGACACAGUGCAGUGGAAAACUACAAGACGCUCGCUGCCUAUCGCAGUUAGUCACUCCAAAUACACACAUGUGGUCUAGUAGGUAAAACAGUCAACAUUCAGUCACCUCUUAGCUAAGAAAGCCAAGCUAAUGGGUGGUGGGGCCAAAACAGCGUGGAGGACCUAAAGGGUGUGCUGAGGUCACUGGCCUCAGUUCCUGUCCCACUCAGCAACCCUCAGAUCCACGACACUGCACAGCAGUGCUUGCUUAGAGGGGCCACUAUCCAGCCCCUUGUCACACUAACAAGGUCCUAGCUGCAUCAUCUAACUGCCCUGCCUUCCUCUUCAGGUAGUGAAGUGGGGAUGUCCCCAGUGAACAGAGUUACACAGUUUAACUGGUGACUCCACCUGGGCCCAGACUAGCGUCUACAGACUAAACAGUAAAGCAGACUUUUCCAUUGGCCACAGCAUGUUUCUCUUUACCACUGUGUCCUUAUUGUUUACCAAAGUUCAGAGUUAACAUUUUCCAAGUGACCAACCCAGUGGUAAUCUGAGAAAGAGGUCAUUGCCCAAUGGAGAGAUGAGGAAACAAAGACUUGUCCAGUUAUCACAGCCCAACUUGUUUGUGAGGGACAAGGUCUCACUGCAUUGCUCCAGAACCGCUGGGUUCAGGUGCUGCUUUUGCCUGAGUCUCUCUUAUUUUGGCACAAUGUUCUUUUAAGGGUCAUUCAACUGAUGGCUUAUAGACUCCUAUAGCAGCCUGGAGAAGGCUAAACUGGAUCAAGUGUACAAAUAAGAUCACUUCCACCCAGAGUGAUAGAGGAACAAGCUGUGGAUGUCCUUAAAAUGGAGCUGGCACCUGGUCUUGUGGGAUACUGAAGCACAUGGCUAGGGGCAGCGUACGAGCAAUCCAGUCUGGCUGUGACACGCCACUCUCAACCACUCUGAUGUGCCUCAGGAAGGAAGUUUCAAAGCCAACCUAUGGCUUACCUGGAGGAUGCUUUGCCUCUCUCACCCGCCCAUCCUCCCUUCAUUCACACACUGUCUACACUAGGGCAGCUUCUCUAGGAAGCUUGCCGCAAAAGCAAAACUAAACAGCAGGGCCUCAUACAGCACAGGCUGUUCUGGAAUUCAACAGCAGUGGAGACUCCAUCUCGCAGGUGAUGGGGUCACAGGUGUUUGUCACCAUGCCCAGCUGUGUGGGAGAAAGCUACAUGAGUUAGUAAUGAUGUCGGCCAGGAGGGGCAGCAAGGAGAAAGAGCACUGACUACUACGGGGCAAUGUCAGGCGUCUUCCUGGCUGCUCUCCACCUCUUCUGUUCUGCUUUGUUUGUUUGGUUUUUAAUUUAUUUAUUUUAUGUGCACUGGUGUUUUGUUUGCAUCUUUAUCUGUGUGAGGGGAUCAGAUGCUCUGGAACUGGACUUACAGACAGUUAUGAGCUCCAUAUGGGUGCUGGGAAUUGAACCCGGGUCCUCUGGAAGAGCAGUCAGGGCUCUUAACCACUGCCAGCCCCUGCUUUGCUUUUUUUGAAACAGGGUCCCUCGCUUACUGGCUUGGCAACAUUGGCUGGUCAGCAAACCUCGGGGACCUGUCUCUUCCUUCCUGGUGUCAGGAUUGUGGAGACUUCCCUACGUCCACCUUUUUACAUGGAUACAGGGAUUUAAACUUACACUUGUGUGACAAGGGCUUUACUGACUGAACUAGUCCAAGAGAACUCUUCAUGGUGGUGUAGGCUUCUGGAACAGAGAGGGAUGGAGUCUAGGGAGCCAAGGCCUCCACAAGCUCCACAGGCCCCUACAUGUUCCAAGCUAGAUGAGACAGGGCAAGGCCGGCCCUCCUUUCCCCAGAGAGAGGCUUCUUUUGGCAAGGAUUCACUUGGGGACUAAAGCACAGCAGACAAUACACAGCUCCAGGCUCUAAAGAGAAAGCUGCGCAUCUCUUCUCAGAAUGCCAAAGAAUGGUUUACUUGAAAUCCCAAGAAUCUAGCAGAGGGCUGGCUUAGCUUGCAAAGGGGAGUGGGGCGUACAGAAAGCCACUGGACACUCAGGAGGAACCAUCCUUUAUCCCCGGCCCCAGCCACUUAGGAGCCCAUGGCCUAGAAAAGGAGCGGCAGAUAGUUUACACCUUUAAUUAUUCCAAUAGAAACGUGUCUCCCGGGAGCAGCCAGGGGUCAGAAGUCCAGCACCAAAACUGUAUAUCUUUAUUAAGUCAUGAGCAAAAAAGCAUUACAGCAGACAGUUAUUAAAAGAAAAAAAAAAAAGCCCCGGUGACCAGCCGAGUAGGAGGUGUCAGAAAACUCACUCCAGAUAAUUUAUUCCCUGAGAACCACAGAGGGCUUUCCCAAGAACAGCAAAAGCACCGUUAAUUUCCUCAGGACCCUCCCUUUCAAAGAGCUCCAAACACCACACAUUUCAUAUUAAAUUGUUCUCAAAGGCUCCAAAAGAAGGGGUUACUAUUUCCCUAAGUACAGAUGUCGAAACUCAAGCCUUUGUGCCCACCAUGCCCUGCCCAGGCCAAGCUAAGGGAGUGAGGCUGCUUGUGCCUGAUCCAGGCCUCCUGGUAGAGGGUUACAAAGACCAAAAUUACCACCUCCAUCCCCCACAAAGAUGAAAAACGGGCUCUCUAUCCUCCAGAACACCAGAGUCCAGUAGUGCGCGGCAGAUGCACAUAUAUCCCCGUAUGCUUAUGUGGAAUGCUACUGAAAAGGCCCACACGCAGCCUGAGAGCUGGUAAGCGCCCACUUACCAGUGCCUAACACGUUCCGAGCACUGUACUAUGUUAUGUUGUUUAAGUCGUCCAGCAAUGUGUGACCAAUACAAGAAGGAAUGGAUGCAAGAAGAGUAAAGAGAUUUGCUGAGGGCCCUAAGGCUACCUGGGGCAGAGACAUGAUUAGAACCCAGAUCCAUCCAGUGAGGAAGUCCUGGAGCUGCUAAGUGACUGAUUAGGAAACUAGAAACUGACCUGUGGGCUUUUCAGCAUGCACACAGAGAGAGGUGCCCUGCACUGGGCGGGGCCUGUUGCCAGGUCCAGAACACAGAUGCAUACAUUAAUAGAGUCUUUCCAUCAUGGGGACAGCUCCAGUGUCUUUCCAAAGGGAACAGAACACUUUCUGGGCAAAGAAGUUCUGAGAAGUCCUGAGCCCUUCUUGUUCUUUUGUGGGCACUGUAAUGGACCAAGAAGGACCAAGAAUGUCUUCAAACGGGUGGCCAGCUGUAAAGGCCUCUGCUCGGAGACAGACUCCUGCUGGGGCAGGGCCCUUUGUUGGCCAUCCCUGAAGAAGGGCACAGGGUGGUGACAGCGCUGCAGAAUUUGCCUAAUAGCUGUAAGCUCCACCAAGAAAGAAAUGGCAGACUUGGAGGAAAGAGAGCAGCAGGCCACAGUCCCCAAGCCAGAAAGACUACUGAAAACCAUGGCCAGUCAUGAGGACUGGCUGAAUCCUAAUAACAGGGAGACAGAUGAAGGAAGGAGUUUUAAAACCAUAAUCUCAACCUAACAAAACCCUAGGUGGAACCAGCCCGCACUUAACACCAGCAGCUUGCUCUGCAAUCUUAGGAUCCUUUCAUACAGCCAUCAACACACACUAUGACUCAUUCGCUCGCUCUAUUAUUAUCACUUAUGUUGUACCUACUUCCAGGAGACGUUCGACUUAACUUAAAAAGCCUAGAGGAUAGCUAAAAGGACAGAGGUCUUGAAGCAGACAGAUCUGGCCUGUGACUCUAGUGGCCACAGGCACACGGUUUCUCGUCUGCCUUGGCUCAGCUCAGCUGUAAGCCACUGAUGGAUUCAAGGCUACCCAAGCUCGUCUGCAGGAUAAGAGACGACAAUGACUGCAAACUGCCCGGCAAACGGUUUGGCUCCUCCACAGUAUACAUCUAACUAAAACAAACGCCAAAGAGGUAAGGAAAAGAGUGUGCAAGAGAAAGGGACCAGUGACCAGUUCAAUCCACGUAUCUAAAUAAGGGAAGCUCUGGAUUCCUGGGAGUCACAGGAAAAGCGAAGCAGGAUUAUUACUCUGUUCUUGUCGUUAAUGAAGGAAGCCUGUAACUCAUCAGGACAGAGAAAGUGCGGAGGUUCUGUAUCCUCAAGUAAAUGCAAAUGUGUGUGCAUAUUCACACACGCACACACACACACAUACACCCCUUCUCUCCAGCAGGAAGAGGGUGAAUGGCUCCCCAGAGCCCUGCUGCCCCUCUGACACCACACAGCUGUUGCCGCCAGUGAAGUACUGCAAUAGUUAAAACAUUUUUGUGCCAAUAUUUUAAGAGUGCAGAAGGUUCCAAAUUACAUGUAAAAUAAACAAUGCCAGACUGUGAAAACUCUUGGCUACAACGCUCUCUGAUGUUAACAAGAGUUCCUUUAUUACUGUAACCUUUCAGAAGAGAAUAAAAACCAUUUCUCUGCCCUAGUUUUGCCCUCCAGUAAAAGUGGAGGGAGCAGUGACCAUGGAAAGAGCUGUACAGUGACCCCUCCUGAAGGCUGGGGGUUGGGAAGAGCAACUGAAAACAAAGCCUUCCAUAUAGAUUUCUUUUCCAAAGUAAAAAAAAAAAAAAAAAAAGCUUUUUUUUUUGAGGGUGUGUAUGCAUAUGUAGAGGUCAGUGAACAACUUGCAGAGAACUUAGGUUCUCUCCUUCCACCAUGUGGGUCCCAAGGACAGAACUCAGGUCGUUAAGGCUGGUAGCCAGUGCCUUUAUCCACUGACCCAUUUCACCAACCCUGUCUUCCAUAUAUUUUCUAGCCAGCUGUUAAACAUUUAGUUUGGGCUGUGGAUCAUAUUAUACAAUGUCACAUUGCUAACUUUUGUAUGUGACAACUUAAAACACAUACAACAUUUGUAUGUGACAGGUAGAGGCACAACAGAGCCUUUGGGGAAGCCCAAACCAAGCUAAUACUAUGAAGAAAAUUAAGAUCUAACCAAGACUCCUCAGUGACUCUCCUUACUCAGAAACUGAGUCUGAAGUGCUCUCAAAACAAAGAAGAGGCCAGAUGUGGUGGUGCAAAUCUGUAGUCCCAGCACUGGAAAGGCAGAGGUGGCAGAUUGCUCUAAGUUUGAGGCCAGCCUGGUCCACGCAGAGUCCAGGUCAGCCAGGCCUACAGAAAGAGACCCUUUCUCAAGACAAACAAAACCCAAAACAAGGAAGAGGGUUUGUGUGUGGCCAGUACUCAGGACAAAACACAGUAGUGUACAGACCCCUAGUCAGUGAGUGUGUAAAUAUCAGACAGAGGGAUCAAAACAGCUGGAUAAAGGGAAGCUGCUUUCCCCGCCACAGAAAAGGAAGGACAACAAAUGAAGUCAAACACUGCCCUCUCAGGCCACUCUGCAACACUAACUCACCCAAAUGUCAUCUGAGUGGUCUCCUCUGGCAUUCUCAGCCGCGUAACCAUUGUAAUUUCUCGGUAUUAUAACUGUGUUUAUGUUUGUCCUCUGCUAGACUAGGAAGUCUUAGUCAUUCUUUUAUCUCUGUGUUAACAUAGUAGCUGGAAGCCAGCAGGUCACAAUACAAUCAAUAGAUAAGGAAAAUUUUGUGUUUGAUGAACUGCUGUUUAAAACAACAACAACAAAAAGCAGAACAUAAGCUCUGGGCCACAACAAGCUUUGUAGUCCUCUCAAAAGCAUAAGGUUGGGUCUGGAAAAGAAUGUAGAGAUUACCUAACUUACCUCAGAGACUCGAGGGGACCUGACUUACUCAGGCUGUAACCGGACAGUGACCAGGCUGGCUAGACCGCCCUCCUUCAACCGCACCCACACCACCCCUUCAUUAGCCUGAAAUGGUAGUAUACAUGUUCAUUUGCUGGGAGGAUGAGAAACAUGAUUGAAACAGCAUAUUCUAAGAACGCAAUCUCACUAUAAGUAAAUGGGGUCACAGUAAGGGUUCAAAGGCCAAGAGGAACGAGUGUGUGUACUAUUCUUGAAGAGGACCCAAGAUCAAGUCCCAGCACCCAUGUCUAGCAGCUCACAGCCAUCUGUGACUACAGUUGCAAGGGCAUCCGACACCCUCUUCUGGCCUCUUUUGGCACUGCACUUAAAUGUACACAAACACAGACACAUGAUUCAAACUAAAAAAUAAUAUAUAAACAAACUAUGGAUAUCAUGCUAGGAAUUGAUUCACUUGAUAUAACAAUAUUGGGUUCCCACUAAAGCUGUCAGACAGUUACCACUGGAACAAGUUAAUCCCAAGAAAACAGAAACAUGUUCAGACAAAACUCAGCCCAAAUGUCCAAUGUGAACAACUGUCCAAAAACAGAAAAAGCAAAGCAUGCUACAACACAAACAGACCUUGAAAACAUACUCAGUACAAAGAGGCAAACGUCAAAGGCUGCAUAUUCCAUUACGUUCUGUCGGCAGUGUGCUGAGAUGAAAAGCUCAGAACGGGUGCAGCCAAAGACACGGCAAAGGGGCGGCGGGGGAGGGGGCAGAGAAUGAUGCCUAUGAGCACAGGGGUUCUUUCUGAGGUGGGGGGAACAUUCUGGAAUUAGUGCUGUGGGCAUGUAACACUGUGAGUUAAGUAAAACCACCACCUAUUCAUUGUGCACGUGUGUAGUGAGCAUGUGCCACAGCUACAUGUGGCUUGCAGAGGUCAGAGGCUGACUUGUGGGAGUCAGUUCUCUCCUUCUCCUACACGUGUGCCCAGGGUCAAUGCUCAGAUCAUCAGGCUCA